rnacentral:tRNA from 1 species
GAGGGAGUAGUUCAGUUGGUAGAAUAGCAGCCUUCAAAGCUGUAGGUCGCGGGUUCAAGUCCUGCCUCCCUUG